AGCGGAGGAAAAGAAACUAACGCAGGAUGCCCUUAGUAACGGCGAGCGAACCGGGCAGAGCCCAACUUGAAAAUCUCCAGCCUCCGGCUGGCGAAUUGUAGUCUAGAGAAGUGCUCUCUGCCUCAGUCCGGCCCCAAGUCCCCUGGAAAGGGGCGUCAGAGAGGGUGAGAACCCCGUUGGGACCGGUGCCUGUGGCUCCACGAGACGCUUUCGAAGAGUCGGGUUGUUUGGGAAUGCAGCCCAAAGCAGGUGGUAAAUCCCAUCUAAGGCUAAAUACAGACGGGAGACCGAUAGCGAACAAGUACCGCGAGGGAAAGAUGAAAAGAACUUUGAAAAGAGAGUUAAAAAGUGCUUGAAAUUGUUGAGAGGGAAGCGAUUGGAUCCUACGGGUGCGCCCAGGCACACGCCUGCCUAACGGUUGGCUGAAUGCGCUGGGUGCUGGUCAGCAUGGGUUGGCCGGGCGGGACAAACCCGGGGGUUGUUACCCCGGCUAUGUCGCCUGGCCGACCGAGGAAAGAAGGGCGCUCUCUGAGUCCUCCGGGAACUGCGUCCUCAAGAUGCUGGCGGAAAGGUUCCAAUCGGCCCGUCUUGAAACACGGACCAAGGAGUCUAACAUGCAUGCGAGCUGGUGGGUGGCAAACCCAUGAAGCGCAAGUAACCUGACUGGUGGGAUGGCCUGUGCCUGCACCAUCGACCGACCAUGAUCUUCUGUGAAAGGUUCGAGUACGAGCAUGCCUGUUGGGACCCGAAAGAUGGUGAACUAUGCCUGAGCAGGGCGAAGCCAGAGGAAACUCUGGUGGAGGCUCGUAGAUGUGCUGACGUGCAAAUCGCUUUUCGGACUUGGGUACYAGGGGCGAAAGACUAAUCGAACCUUCUAGUA
rnacentral:rRNA from 1 species